UUUGUCUUUUAGUGCAAGUAUGACAGUUUGCAUGCAUAUGCAUAUGCAUGCAAACUGUCAUCAAGCAUGCAUUACAUG